CACGGAGGAUGCGAGCGUUAUCCGGAUUUAUUGGGUUUAAAGGGUGCGCAGGCGGCACGGCAGGCCGGCGGUCAAAUCGCGGGGCUCAACCCCGCCCAGCCGUCGGAACUGCCGGGCUAGAGUGGGCGAGAAGUGCGCGGAAUGCGUGGUGUAGCGGUGAAAUGCAUAGAUAUCACGCAGAACUCCGAUUGCGAAGGCAGCGCACCGGCGCCCUACUGACGCUCAGGCACGAAAGCGUGGGUAUCGAACAGG
rnacentral:rRNA from 1 species